GAGACCACAAAUAACCGGAAAUAACAAACUUUUUUCACACCUGAUGAGGGACUCCGGCAUUUUGGCCAAACACCAAGAAGAAGGAGACUCCGACGUUUACGUGUACGACCGACAGUUGUGACAGACGAAGUGGGGGCCAGGGUACUUCAUCACUGCAAAAAAGUUUCCCUGGCCAAGGUUUCCCUGUGUCCUCACUGUGGGAGAGGAAGAACUGGAAGAGGCUGUGAGGCAGUACAGAAGGCUUUGGGAUGAAAAAGAACGUUGCCAUCUCGAUGACCAGGAGACAGAAGCAAUCCUUGACCAUUUCAAAUUUAAAUU